rnacentral:rRNA from 1 species
GAAUUUUCCGCAAUGGGCGCAAGCCUGACGGAGCAAUACCGCGUGAGGGAAGAAGGCUCUUGGGUCGUAAACCUCUUUUGUCAGGGAAGAAGAAAGUGACGGUACCUGACGAAUCAGCCUCGGCUAACUCCGUGCCAGCAGCCGCGGUAAUACGGAGGAGGCAAGCGUUAUCCGGAAUUAUUGGGCGUAAAGCGUCCGCAGGUGGCUAGUCAAGUCGGCGGUCAAAGACUGGGGCUCAACUCCAGAAAAGCCGUGGAAACUGACAAGCUAGAGGGCGGUAGGGGUAGAGGGAAUUCCCGGUGUAGCGGUGAAAUGC